GGAGAGUCACACUUGGACAUUUCAAUAGAGGAAGUGGAGGAGAGACUCCAUGGCACUGGAUUUAGCCAGCAACAGAGUGACUCUGAGCAACAUGCAGAGGUGUGUGCUUUUUGUGGACAUGCAGAAGAUAUGGGACCAUCCACUUCACACAAAAGAGCAAAAAUAAACUUGAUGGUGGUGAGAUGAGGGGACACAGGAAAAGGAGAUGCAUCAGUUGCCAGCAAGGAUUCUAUUAUCCAAUUGAGACAUCUAAAUGCAGAUUCUUCAUUUCACAUAAUAACAAAACUUAAAAAUAUUCACUGCUCACAGUGUUCACUGCCUGCAGAAAAAAUGGAAAAACUGGAAACUGAGUUUUGUGAACUUAAAAAUGAGUAUUCUGAAGCAAAAAUAGUGAUA